UCAAGCAUUAAGAGCGCAGGGUGGAUGCCUUGGCACUGAGAGCCGAUGAAGGACGUGAUAAGCUGCGAAAAGCUUCGGGGAGGAGCAAAUAUCCAUUGAUCCGGAGAUAUCCGAAUGGGGAAACCCACUUGAGCAAACCUCAAGUAUCCAUACGCCAAUCCAUAACGUAUGGAAGGGAACCGGGGGAACUGAAACAUCUAAGUACCCCGAGGAGAAGAAAGAAACCUCGAUUUCCAAAGUAGCGGCGAGCGAAAUGGAAAGAGCCCAAACCGUGGUGCGUGCACCGCGGGGUUGUGGACUGCAUAAGGUACUCGAAUCAAUAGCCGAACAGUUUUGGGAAAUCUGAUCAGAGAGGGUGAAAAUCCCGUAGGCGAAAUUGAUGAGAGGCUGGCAGGAUCCAGAGUACCACGAGACACGGGAAACCUUGUGGGAAGCAGGAGGGACCACCCUCCAAGGCUAAAUACUCCUCAGUGACCGAUAGCGCAUAGUACUGUGAAGGAAAGGUGAAAAGGACCCCGGGAGGGGAGUGAAAGAGAACCUGAAACCCUGUGUUUACAAGCUGUGGAAGUGCCUUAUGUGCACAACCGCGUACUUUUUGUAGAACGGUCCGGCGAGUUACGUUUACUGGCAAGGUUAAGCACUGCAGGUGCGGAGCCGAAGGGAAACCAAGUCUUAAGAGGGCGUGAAGUCAGUAAGAGUAGACCCGAAACCGGGUGAUCUACCCAUGUCCAGGCUGAAGCUGCCGUAAGAGGUAGUGGAGGGCCGAACGCACAUCCGUUGAAAAGGGUGGCGAUGAGGUGUGGGUAGGGGAGAAAUUCCAAUCGAACCCGGAGAUAGCUGGUUCUCCUCGAAAUAGCUUUAGGGCUAGCCUCGAUUUAGUCUUAUGGAGGUAGAGCACUGAAUUUCCGCGGGGGCGUCAAAGCUUACCAAAGAAUAUCAAACUCCGAAUGCCAUGUAGAUGAUGAAUGGGAGUCAGACUGCACGAGAUAAGUUGGGCAGUCAAAAGGGAAAGAGCCCAGACCUGCUGCUAAGGUCCCAAAGUACGUGUUAAGUGGAAAAGGAUGUGGGAUUUCGAAGACAACUAGGAUGUUGGCUCAGAAGCAGCCACACAUUCAAAGAGUGCGUAAUAGCUCACUAGUCGAGAGGUCCUGCGCCGAAAAUGUCCGGGGCUGAAACACAACACCGAAGCUGCGGAAUUGCGAAUGCAAUUGGUAGAGGAGCAUUCUUAAUACCGACGAAGCUGUACCGGAAGGAGCAGUGGAGGGAUAAGAAGAGAGAAUGCCGGAAUGAGUAGCGAGAGAGAGGUGGGAAUCCUCUCGGCCGAAUAUCCAAGGUUUCCAGGGUAAAGCUGAUCUGCCCUGGGUAAGUCGGGGCCUAAGGAGAGGCAGAAAUGCGUAUCCGAUGGACAGCAGGUUGAGAUUCCUGCACUAUCUUAAAACAGAACUGUGGGGACAUUUGUGGAGAGCACAGGCGCGGAACGGAAAGCCGCGUGCAAGCGAAGGAGGAGUCACAUAGGAAAAACCGUGUGGCAAUCCAGAGGCGUGAUGCGGACCGAACUAAAGUAGGGAAGUGUGUGAGCCAUGAAUCAAGAAAAGCCGCUAUUGUUUUUAAGAUACCCGUACCGUAAACCGACACAGGUGGAUGAGGAGAGAAUCCUAAGGCCGGCGGAAGAAGCAUUGUUAAGGAACUCGGCAAAAUGACCCCGUAACUUCGGGAGAAGGGGUGCCUGCGAGAGCAGGCCGCAGAGAAUAGGCUCAAGCAACUGUUUAGCAAAAACACAGGUCUAUGCAAAACCGAAAGGUGAGGUAUAUGGGCUGACGCCUGCCCGGUGCUGGAAGGUUAAGAGGAGAGGUUAGCGCAAGCGAAGCUUUGAAUUUAAGCCCCAGUAAACGGCGGCCGUAACUAUAACGGUCCUAAGGUAGCGAAAUUCCUUGUCGGGUAAGUUCCGACCCGCACGAAAGGCGUAAUGAUUUGAGCGCUGUCUCGACAAUGCAUCCGGUGAAAUUGAAGUACCAGUGAAGAUGCUGGUUACCCGCGCCAGGACGGAAAGACCCCAUGGAGCUUUACUCCAGUUUGGUACUGGGGUCCGGCAGUGCAUGUACAGGAUAGGUGGGAGGCUGUGAACCUGGAACGCCAGUUUCAGGGGAGCCAUUGUUGGGAUACCACCCUUGUGCUGCUGGGCUUCUAACCAGCGGCCUUUAUCAGGCCGGGGGACAAUGCCAGACGGGGAGUUUGACUGGGGCGGUCGCCUCCGAAAGGGUAUCGGAGGCGC
rnacentral:rRNA from 1 species